AUCCUUUAAAAUCAGAAUGCCAGCUUGGAUUAGUUGCAGUAAGAGCUGAAUUUGCUCCUCCUGGUUUCCUUGUAGAAGGUGAAUGCAAGAACCUGCCAAGCAAACCAAUGGCCAAGGGGAUUGAUGAGUGCAGGACCUGAGAGAACCCCCUGAAAUGACAACCUGGAGUAGUUUGCAGUCUUAGAUUGCAAAGAUGGCCUUUGCUGCAUGUCCUGGAGCAAGGAAAGCCAAGAAACCUUUGCUUUUGCAGGAGAAAAUGGGGGAAGCGGGAAGGAAGAAGAGAAGCCCCGUGACUCCUCCCUGAGCCCCAGACAGCCCAGGAACUGCCUCCCUGGGAAUGGUGGCACGGGCUGGACUCUGGAUUGCUCCCUCUGGAUGUGUGGUGGUCUGGACUGCAGCCA